rnacentral:rRNA from 1 species
UGGGGAAUUUUGGACAAUGGGCGAAAGCCUGAUCCAGCAAUGCCGCGUGUGUGAAGAAGGCCUUCGGGUUGUAAAGCACUUUUGUCCGGAAAGAAAUCCUUGGCUCUAAUACAGUCGGGGGAUGACGGUACCGGAAGAAUAAGCACCGGCUAACUACGUGCCAGCAGCCGCGGUAAUACGUAGGGUGCAAGCGUUAAUCGGAAUUACUGGGCGUAAAGCGUGCGCAGGCGGUUUGCUAAGACCGAUGUGAAAUCCCCGGGCUCAACCUGGGAACUGCAUUGGUACUGGCAGGCUAGAGUAUGGCAGAGGGGGGUAAAUUCCACGUGUAGCAGUGAAAUGCGUAGAGAUGUGGAGGAAUACCGAUGGCGAAGGCAGCCCCCCUGGGGCCAAUACUGACGCUCAUGCACGAAAGCGUGGGGAGCAAAACAGGAUUAGAUACCCUGGUAGUCCACGCCCUAAAACGAUGUCAACUAGUUNUUGGGGAUUCAUUUCCUAGUAACGUAGCUAACGCGUGAAGUUGA